rnacentral:rRNA from 1 species
GCCUAUUGGCGGCCAGGCUUAAACAUGCAGUCGAGCGGAACGAUGAUAGCUUGCUAUCAGGCGUCGAGCGGCGGACGGGUGAGUAAUACUUAGGAAUCUACCUAGUAGUGGGGGAUAGCUCGGGGAAACUCGAAUUAAUACCGCAUACGACCUACGGGAGAAAGGGGGCAACUUGUUGCUCUCGCUAUUAGAUGAGCCUAAGUCGGAUUAGCUAGAUGGUGGGGUAAAGGCCUACCAUGGCGACGAUCUGUAGCUGGUCUGAGAGGAUGAUCAGCCACACCGGGACUGAGACACGGCCCGGACUCCUACGGGAGGCAGCAGUGGGGAAUAUUGGACAAUGGGGGCAACCCUGAUCCAGCCAUGCCGCGUGUGUGAAGAAGGCCUUUUGGUUGUAAAGCACUUUAAGCAGUGAAGAAGACUCCGUGGUUAAUACCCACGGACGAUGACAUUAGCUGCAGAAUAAGCACCGGCUAACUCUGUGCCAGCAGCCGCGGUAAUACAGAGGGUGCAAGCGUUAAUCGGAAUUACUGGGCGUAAAGCGAGCGUAGGUGGCUUGAUAAGUCAGAUGUGAAAUCCCCGGGCUUAACCUGGGAACUGCAUCUGAUACUGUUAGGCUAGAAUAGGUGAGAGGAAGGUAGAAUUCCAGGUGUAGCGGUGAAAUGCGUAGAGAUCUGGAGGAAUACCGAUGGCGAAGGCAGCCUUCUGGCAUCAUAUUGACACUGAGGUUCGAAAGCGUGGGUAGCAAACAGGAUUAGAUACCCUGGUAGUCCACGCCGUAAACGAUGUCUACUAGUCGUUGGGUCCCUUGAGGACUUAGUGACGCAGCUAACGCAAUAAGUAGACCGCCUGGGGAGUACGGCCGCAAGGUUAAAACUCAAAUGAAUUGACGGGGGCCCGCACAAGCGGUGGAGCAUGUGGUUUAAUUCGAUGCAACGCGAAGAACCCUACCUGGUCUUGACAUAUCUAGAAUCCUGCAGAGAUGCGGGAGUGCCUUCGGGAAUUAGAAUACAGGUGCUGCAUGGCUGUCGUCAGCUCGUGUCGUGAAGAUGUUGGGUUAAGUCCCGCAACGAGCGCAAC